GAUGAACGCUGGCGGCGUGCCUAAUACAUGCAAGUCGAGCGAACAGACGAGGAGCUUGCUCCUCUGACGUUAGCGGCGGACGGGUGAGUAACACGUGGAUAACCUACCUAUAAGACUGGGAUAACUUCGGGAAACCGGAGCUAAUACCGGAUAAUAUAUUGAACCGCAUGGUUCAAUAGUGAAAGACGGUUUUGCUGUCACUUAUAGAUGGAUCCGCGCCGCAUUAGCUAGUUGGUAAGGUAACGGCUUACCAAGGCAACGAUGCGUAGCCGACCUGAGAGGGUGGUCGGCCACACUGGAACUGGAACCCGGUCCAGACUCCUACGGGAGGCAACAGUAGGGAAUCUUCCGCAAUGGGCGAAAGCCUGACGGAGCAACGCCGCGUGAGUGAUGAAGGUCUUCGGAUCGUAAAACUCUGUUAUUAGGGAAGAACAAAUGUGUAAGUAACUAUGCACGUCUUGACGGUACCUAAUCAGAAAGCCACGGCUAACUACGUG
rnacentral:rRNA from 1 species